AUUGAACGCUGGCGGCAGGCCUAACACAUGCAAGUCGAACGAGAGGCGGACGGGUGAGUAAUGUCUGGGACACUGCCUGGUGGAGGGGGAUAACUACUGGAAACGGUAGCUAAUACCGCAUACCAUCGGAUGUGCCCAGAUGGGAUUAGCUAGUAGGUGGGGUAAAGGCUCACCUAGGACACGAUCCCUAGCUGGUCUGAGAGGAUGAACAGCCACACUGGAACUGAGACACGGUCCAGACUCCUACGGGAGGCAGCAGUGGGGAAUAUUGCACAAUGGGCGCAAGCCUGAUGCAGCCAUGCCGCGUGUAUGAAGAAGGCCUUCGGGUUGUAAAGUACUUUCAGCGGGGAGGCGUUACCCGCAGAAGAAGCACCGGCUAACUCCGUGCCAGCAGCCGCGGUAAUAC
rnacentral:rRNA from 1 species